rnacentral:rRNA from 1 species
GACGAACGCUGGCGGCGUGCCUAAUACAUGCAAGUAGAACGCUGAAGCGAGGAGCUUGCUCUUCUUGGAUGAGUUGCGAACGGGUGAGUAACGCGUAGGUAACCUGCCUGGUAGCGGGGGAUAACUAUUGGAAACGAUAGCUAAUACCGCAUAAAAUGGAUUAUCGCAUGAUAAUCCAUUGAAAGGUGCAAAUGCAUCACUACCAGAUGGACCUGCGUUGUAUUAGCUAGUUGGUGGGGUAACGGCUCACCAAGGCGACGAUACAUAGCCGACCUGAGAGGGUGAUCGGCCACACUGGAACUGAGACACGGCCCAGACUCCUACGGGAGGCAGCAGUAGGGAAUCUUCGGCAAUGGACGGAAGUCUGACCGAGCAACGCCGCGUGAGUGAAGAAGGUUUUCGGAUCGUAAAGCUCUGUUGUAAGAGAAGAACGAGUGUGAGAGUGGAAAGUUCACACUGUGACGGUAUCUUACCAGAAAGGGACGGCUAACUACGG